rnacentral:lncRNA from 1 species
UCCACCGCAGCCUGGUCAGCCUUUCAAAUUCACUGUGGCCGAGUCUUGUGAUCGAAUAAAGGAGGAAUUUAAUUUUUUACAAGCACAAUAUCAUAGCCUUAAAUUGGACUGUGAGAAAUUGGCCAGUGAAAAGAUCGAAAUUCAACGACACUACGUUAUGUACUAUGAAAUGUCUUAUGGAUUAAACGUGGAAAUGCACAAACAG